rnacentral:rRNA from 1 species
AUAUUGCGCAAUGGGCGAAAGCCUGACGCAGCAACGCCGCGUGAGUGAUGAAGGCCUUCGGGUUGUAAAGCUCUUUCGGUUGGGAAGAAGGGUAGGCAGGCUAAUAGUCUGUUUAUUUGAUGGUACCAAAAGAAGAAGCACCGGCUAACUUCGUGCCAGCAGCCGCGGUAAUACGAAGGGUGCAAGCGUUGUUCGGAAUUACUGGGCGUAAAGGGUUCGUAGGCGGGAAGAUAAGUUACGUGUGAAAUCCCUGGGCUUAACCCAGGACGUGCACGUAAAACUAUCUUUCUUGAGUGUUGGAGAGGGUAGUGGAAUUGCUGGUGUAGGAGUGACAUCCGUAGAGAUCAGCAGGAACAUCAGAGGCGAAAGCGACUGCCUGGCCAAACACUGACGCUGAGGAACGAAAGCGUGGGGAGCAAACAGG